rnacentral:piRNA from 1 species
UGUUAAGCUUUAAUUUCUUUCCAGGCC